rnacentral:tRNA from 1 species
GGAAGUGUGCCCGAACUACAAGGACUACUUUGAUAGAGUAUAACACAGGGGUUAAAAUCCCCUCACUUCCU